UAAAGACCAACUGAAGAGGUUUUUUUCGAAAUUGAGAUAGCGAUUGAUUCAGACAGUAGAUAGCAUCAAAGUUAGUUCCUAAAAUUUUGAGAUUUUAGAAAAGCGUAUUUAUAUUAGAAAAAGUAAUUUGAAAGUGGAAAAAAUAACGAGAUUUGAAAAUCAGCUUCAAUGGCCGAAACCGGAAGUGACGUCUUGUAAUGGACUGAGAAAAUAAAACAUAUGACAUGUGGCAUACAGACAAGUUUACUAGAUGGAUCUUUCAUCAUUUUGGAAAUACAAGAAGAGUUAAUAUUCCCUGUUUCUAUUUUGAAACAAAUCACAGAAACAUUCUACAAUUUUAUUUUAUAUAAUAAAUACCAAUAAAUGUAAAUACAAAAUCACA